UACAGAGGGUGCGAGCGUUGUUCGGAAUUAUUGGGCGUAAAGCGCUUGUAGGCGGCCCGGCAUGUCCCGUGUGAAAUCCCUCGGCUUAACCGAGGAAGUGCGCGGGAAACUACCGGGCUUGAGUGCCGGAGAGGAUGGCGGAAUUCCCGGUGUAGAGGUGAAAUUCGUAGAUAUCGGGAGGAACACCAGUGGCGAAGGCGGCCAUCUGGACGGACACUGACGCUGAGACGCGAAAGCGUGGGGAGCAAACAGG
rnacentral:rRNA from 1 species